rnacentral:rRNA from 1 species
UACGAAGGGUGCAAGCGUUACUCGGAAUUACUGGGCGUAAAGCGUGCGUAGGUGGUGAGUUAAGUCUGAUGUGAAAUCCCCGGGCUCAACCUGGGAAUGGCAUUGGAUACUGGCUCGCUAGAGUGCGGUAGAGGGUGGUGGAAUUCCCGGUGUAGCAGUGAAAUGCGUAGAGAUCGGGAGGAACAUCUGUGGCGAAGGCGGCCACCUGGACCAACACUGACACUGAGGCAUGAAAGCGUGGGGGGCAAACAGG